GUCUAUGGCCAUACCACCCUGAAUGUGCCUGAUCUCCUCUGAUAUAGAAGCUAAGCAGGUCAGGCCUGGAUUAGUACUUGGAUGGGAGAAAGAAUUGCACAGGCCCUGUUAGCA
rnacentral:rRNA from 1 species